GAUGAACGCUGGCGGCGUGCCUAACACAUGCAAGUCGAGCGAGAUAUCCAUGACGAAUUCUUCGGAUGCCUGAAUGGAUGGAAAGCGGCGGACGGGUGAGUAACGCGUAGGUAACCUGCCCUGUACAAAGGGAUAGCCACUGGAAACGGUGAUUAAUACCUUAUGACACCGCAGCAUCACAUGGUGAAGCGGUCAAAGAUUUUAUCGGUACAGGAUGGACCUGCGUCUGAUUAGUUAGUUGGUGGGGUAACGGCCCACCAAGGCGACGAUCAGUAGCCGACCUGAGAGGGUGAUCGGCCACAUUGGAACUGAGACACGGUCCAAACUCC
rnacentral:rRNA from 1 species